rnacentral:rRNA from 1 species
AGAACGAACGCUGGCGGCAUGCCUAACACAUGCAAGUCGAACGAGACCUUCGGGUCUAGUGGCGCACGGGUGCGUAACGCGUGGGAACCUGCCUUGAGGUUCGGAAUAACUCCCCGAAAGGGGUGCUAAUACCGGAUGAUGUCUUCGGACCAAAGAUUUAUCGCCUUUAGAUGGGCCCGCGUUGGAUUAGCUAGUUGGUGGGUAAAGGCCUACCAAGGCGACGAUCCGAU